AUGAUAGCCACGUAUAUAAAAUCAAUCCAAAGGUCAAUACGUUACACGUCAUUCAUCUCUAUCUAUCACCAAUGUUACGCCGUUUAGUCUCUCCUCCAAAGUCCAAAGCUUCUUGUUCGAAUCUCUCUUGUUCUUCCUCUGCUACGCUGCAUAUUUUUCUGAAUUCUUCUUUAUUCACAAAUGGAGAACGGCAAUGGAGAAGUUGCCAUUACUUUCGCCAUCAUUAGCCUCACCUUGAUGCUGUUUCGUGUCCUGUAUGUUAUAUACCGGAGUGGCAAACCUCUUCGAACAGAAGCUCGAGGAGCUCUCAGUACCCUCAUUGUUUUAGGUUCAGGGGGUCACACGGCCGAGAUGAUUAAUCUGUUGUUGGUGCUGCAAAAAGACAGGUUUAGUCCUAGAUUCUACAUUGCUGCCGCUACUGAUAAUAUGAGCCUCCAAAAAGCUCGCACGCUGGAGAACAACUUGGUUGAUGAGAAUGGGGUCAAGGAGGUUCAAACUGCUCAGUUCAUGCAGAUCUAUCGAAGUAGGGAAGUUGGUCAAUCAUAUUUCACCUCUGUUUGGACAACUUUAGUUGCUAUGGCUCAUGCAUUCUGGUUAAUGACUAAAAUUAGACCCCAAGUGAUUCUCUGCAAUGGGCCAGGGACUUGUGUUCCACUAUGUGCAAUUGCGUUCUUUUUCAAGGUUGUGGGGGUUAGAUGGUCAUCUGUUUUCUACGUUGAGAGUAUAGCAAGAGUGAGAAGGCUCUCAUUAAGUGGCUUGCUUCUUUACAAAUUACGAAUAGCGGAUCAGUUCUUUGUGCAGUGGCCACAACUGCAGAGACAAUAUCCACGAGCUCACUAUGUUGGUUGUCUCAUGUAGUUUAUCAAAUGCAGCUGUCAACAUUGCACUGUAGAUUGCAGCCUAAAACAAAAGGAACCUUAUUCAUCCAUCAACCUCUCCAUGUUGGGAAGCAUUAAUCGGAAACUUCAUUGGAAUUUCUAUCUUCGGGCUUGGGCUGAUAAUCGUCGAGGUACUGCUGAUAGACGUACGAAAUAAAGCCCCAAAUAGCCAACACCAUGGAGACCACCUUUAUUCCACCAAGUUUGUCAUGGAAAAAGAUCACGGCAAGGACCGGAACAAUAGGCAAACCCAGAACACUUAUGGCAUUGGAGAAGAGGGAAGAAACCUCAAAUACCAAUCCCAUGCAACCAACAGAGAAAACCUGCCACAAUAUGGCUGUCCAAAUCACAGUCAUGAGAUAUGAGACCUUCCCCAGUUCAAACUCCUCCAUCUCUCUGUUUAAACCCUUCCACUCUCCGCUGGCAAAAAGUCCCACCAAAGUAGCUGAGGUUGCAACAAGUGAUUGGUAAACUAUCAUGUCCAUGAUUGCUGAAAAUGUCUCCCUUUUCAGAACCCUCUUAAAGGCAAGCUGUGUGAGGGAAAGCACCAACCCAUAUCCAGCAGAUGCACCAAGUGUGCAAAUGAACCCAAUUAUAUACUUCCCUUUGGAGACUCCAGCUGUGAGGUCUGCAGAAUGUGUUUGAAGAACAAGGAGAAUGGAGGAUAUGGUGAGAAGGACUAGAGAAUUGAGUAUGAAAGGAGUGAACUUCUGGGAAUUGAGGAAGAAGGAGAAUAAAGCAUUGAACCCCAAUGUUGAGGAACUAAUGAGGGAGUAAGUAGAGACUGGAAGGUACAUUAGCCCAGUUGAAAACAAGAAGCAAUCUACUGCUACAAGUAGGCCAAGGAAUACAUAAACUGUUGAAAGUGUCAAGGCUGAGGGUGGUUUUGAGAGGACUGUUUCUACUUUGGGGGGUUUGUUUUUGGGUGCUGAGAUGAAGUAGUAGGGAAGGAGGAGUGGGAAGCCUCCAAGCUGCACAAGGGUUCCUAACCAUUUGCUUUUUCCACCUUUUGCAUAAUAUAAUCUUCCCAGUAUUAAAGCUGAUGACUGCCCAAAGAGGAGAAAGAGUGUAUAUAUGGCCAUUCGGAGCCACCUUUUAUAGUUUCUUUGUUUGCCAAUUGUUGAUAGGCUGCUGGCAUGCAUUUGCUCAGUUGAGUUUGCUUGUUUGGCCAUCUCAGCUGCUAGGAGCGCAGCGAAAGGAUUAGUACAGUAUCAAAAAGGAGAUCAAGGUAUGUUUUAGCUAUUAUCCGAACUGAGGAUAUCAAGUGGAAGAGAGAUUGAUAUGGAAUGGGCCCUGUACAAUAAUUAUUGAGCAUUAGGCUGUCCAAAAAAUCCACACAAUAGUAAGAAAUGUUGUAGAGUCCACUACAUAUGUCCAUCUCUCCAACUAAGGCAUUCAAAUUUGAGGAACAGCGUGAGAAGACUUUUCCCCCCAAAAAAAAGGGAGUUCAUGCAUGCAACAACAUAGGCCGGAGCUAAGAUCAAGGGAGGAAGUUUUCCGAGAAAAGUGUAUAUAAAGAUCCAGAGAAAUGUUUCAAGAAUAUACGGAAAAAUAUUUCCUAUUUGAAUACACCAAGUUCGUAUAUGCUCCAAGACAAUCAAAGUUCAUUAGUAUUAUUAUCUUGCAUUUCUUCGAUGCUAGACAUGUAAUUAUAUGCCACAGGAACCUACAUUUUCUUCAA